rnacentral:rRNA from 1 species
AGGGGAUCGCAAGACCUUGCGCUUUUGGAGCGGCCGAUGUCUGAUUAGCUAGUUGGUGAGGUAAAGGCUUACCAAGGCUUCGAUCAGUAGCUGGUCUGAGAGGACGACCAGCCACACUGGGACUGAGACACGGCCCAGACUCCUACGGGAGGCAGCAGUGGGGAAUUUUGGACAAUGGGGGCAACCCUGAUCCAGCCAUGCCGCGUGAGUGAAGAAGGCCUUCGGGUUGUAAAGCUCUUUCAGCCGGAACGAAAAGGUUACGGUUAAUACCCGUGACUAAUGACGGUACCGGAAGAAGAAGCACCGGCUAACUACGUGCCAGCAGCCGCGGUAAUACGUAGGGUGCGAGCGUUAAUCGGAAUUACUGGGCGUAAAGCGUGCGCAGGCGGUUUUGUAAGUCAGAUGUGAAAUCCCCGGGCUUAACCUGGGAACUGCGUUUGAAACUACA